CUGCCCAAUGAUUUUUAUUUAAUGGCUGCGGUAUUUUAACCGUGCAAAGGUAGCAUAAUCAUUUGUCUUUUAAUUAAAGGCUUGAAUGAAAGGUUGGACGAGAAACUUACUUUCUUCAAUAUAUAAAAUUGAAUUUAAUUUUUUAGUUAAAAAGCUAAGAUUUUUUUGUGGGACGAGAAGACCCUAUAGAAUUUAUUAUUCUUGUCUAUUUAUAGUUAUAUAAUAAAUAAUUGUAGAUAUAAGGAAUUUUGUUGGGGUGACAGAAGAAUUAUAAUAACUUCUUUUUUUAUUAUUCAUUAAUUUAUGUUUUAUUGAUCCANUAUUAUUGAUUAUAAGUUUAAAUUACCUUAGGGAUAACAGCGUAAUUUUUUCGGAGAGUUCUUAUCGAUGAAUGGAGUUUGCGAC
rnacentral:rRNA from 1 species